ACUACUUCACGAAGUCUCACCAAAUUUGCACCGCAGAUAGAUAUCGGGGCAAGGAUGACUCCACUGAAUUCUGGAGGUGAUCCAGAUCCGGAAUGGCGGACGU